GGCUCAGGAUGAACGCUAGCGACAGGCCUAACACAUGCAAGUCGAGGGGCAGCACAAGGAGCAAUCUGAGGUGGCGACCGGCGCACGGGUGAGUAACACGUAUGCAACCUGCCUGUAAGCGGGGAAUAACCCGUUGAAAGACGGACUAAUACCGCAUAAUACUAAAUUACUGCAUGGUAAUUUAUUUAAACAUUUAUGGCUUACAGAUGGGCAUGCGCAUGAUUAGCUAGUUGGAGAGGUAACGGCUCCCCAAGGCAACGAUCAUUAGGGGUUCUGAGAGGAAGGUCCCCCACACUGGUACUGAGACACGGACCAGACUCCUACGGGAGGCAGCAGUGAGGAAUAUUGGUCAAUGGACGAGAGUCUGAACCAGCCAAGUCGCGUGCAGGAAGAAAUGUCCUAUGGAUUGUAAACUGCUUUUGCAGGGGAAUAAAGUGCGUCACGUGUGAUGUUUUGUAUGUACUCUGCGAAUAAGGAUCGGCUAACUCCGUGCCAGCCGCCGC
rnacentral:rRNA from 1 species